UUAUUUCUUUCCUUUUUUUCUGCAAAACAAACAGAAGGAGAGCAGCCCCUUCUUCCCCAUUUUCGUUUGUGCUCUGCUAGGGUUUCAAAAGAAACCCAUCAUCGCCAUCAUCGUACAAAGCCACCGAGGGCGGUGGCCGGAGCCACACGAAGACCAGAUUUUUAGCCCUUUUCAAGAGAGCCCGAAAGCAAAGCACCUCCCAAACUCAAAAAAUGCGAAAGAAAAGGUCCCUCUCUUUUCCCUUUAAGUCAGAUUCUGACGACGGAGAAUAGAUCGGUCGAGGUGACACGGGAUUUCGGUGUUUUUGGAGGGUCAACAAAGAAAGGAGGCCAACCCUUUGCCGUUUGGUGAAAUGGAGACAAGAAGGGCCGAACCUCGGGAGUUGGUCUUGCCGACAAAGCACGUGGGUGGCAGAGGACGAGUACGGCGCACUAGGGGAAAUUAGGGUUAAACUUGGCUGAGAUUUUGGUUUAUGUUGGGCCUAUUGGGCUAUCCGGAUUUGGGUUUUAGUUUAUUUUUUUGGUCUGGGCUAAUUAACAAUUCUAGGCCUGGGUAAAUUUGGGUAUCUACACUAAGUUUAGAAAAUUUUCCUCGAAGUGAAGGUUUGCAGUGUCUAGCUAACUUCUAUAUUAGUACCAGCUCACCGAUCAAGAAGCUAAUGAGGGUCCAAUCGAUAAAGGAAAAUGACCUACUUUGUAGGUUGUGCUAAAAUUUCUAGCUUGCUAACAGAAGGAAGACUGUUUGUUAAAAGGAUUACGCAAGAAUGCUGCUACUAUUGUGAGCUAACUAUUUUGUUCUAUAUCAUGCAUGGCUCUUGUAUGUGGCGUAUAAAUAUAUUUUGGAAAUGAUCUGUAUAAAGAACUUCUAUUUUGACAAGAUUGUUUUUACGAUAUUUCUAUUAAAUAUCAAUGCAUGGAUUUGAAUUAUUAUAUUUUGUUUAAUGAAA